UGGGGGAUUAGUGGCGAACGGGUGAGUAACACGUGAGUAACCUGCCCUUGACUCUGGGAUAAGCCUGGGAAACUGGGUCUAAUACCGGAUAUGACUGUCUGACGCAUGUCAGGUGGUGGAAAGCUUUUGUGGUUUUGGAUGGACUCGCGGCCUAUCAGCUUGUUGGUGGGGUAAUGGCCUACCAAGGCGACGACGGGUAGCCGGCCUGAGAGGGUGACCGGCCACACUGGGACUGAGACACGGCCCAGACUCCUACGGGAGGCAGCAGUGGGGAAUAUUGCACAAUGGGCGCAAGCCUGAUGCAGCGACGCCGCGUGAGGGAUGACGGCCUUCGGGUUGUAAACCUCUUUCAGUAGGGAAGAAGCGAAAGUGACGGUACCUGCAGAAGAAGCGCCGGCUAACUACGUGCCAGCAGCCGCGGUAAUACGUAGGGCGCAAGCGUUAUCCGGAAUUAUUGGGCGUAAAGAGCUCGUAGGCGGUUUGUCGCGUCUGCUGUGAAAGACCGGGGCUCAACUCCGGUUCUGCAGUGGGUACGGGCAGACUAGAGUGAUGUAGGGGAGACUGGAAUUCCUGGUGUAGCGGUGAAAUGCGCAGAUAUCAGGAGGAACACCGAUGGCGAAGGCAGGUCUCUGGGCAUUAACUGACGCUGAGGAGCGAAAGCAUGGGGAGCGAACAGGAUUAGAUACCCUGGUAGUCCAUGCCGUAAACGUUGGGCACUAGGUGUGGGGGACAUUCCACGUUUUCCGCGCCGUAGCUAACGCAUUAAGUGCCCCGCCUGGGGAGUACGGCCGCAAGGCUAAAACUCAAAGGAAUUGACGGGGGCCCGCACAAGCGGCGGAGCAUGCGGAUUAAUUCGAUGCAACGCGAAGAACCUUACCAAGGCUUGACAUGAACCGGUAAUACCUGGAAACAGGUGCCCCGCUUGCGGUCGGUUUACAGGUGGUGCAUGGUUGUCGUCAGCUCGUGUCGUGAGAUGUUGGGUUAAGUCCCGCAACGAGCGCAACCCUCGUUCUAUGUUGCCAGCGCGUUAUGGCGGGGACUCAUAGGAGACUGCCGGGGUCAACUCGGAGGAAGGUGGGGACGACGUCAAAUCAUCAUGCCCCUUAUGUCUUGGGCUUCACGCAUGCUACAAUGGCCGGUACAAAGGGUUGCGAUACUGUGAGGUGGAGCUAAUCCCAAAAAGCCGGUCUCAGUUCGGAUUGGGGUCUGCAACUCGACCCCAUGAAGUCGGAGUCGCUAGUAAUCGCAGAUCAGCAACGCUGCGGUGAAUACGUUCCCGGGCCUUGUACACACCGCCCGUCAAGUCACGAAAGUUG
rnacentral:rRNA from 1 species